rnacentral:tRNA from 1 species
UCCGGAGUAGCUCAAUUGGCAGAGCAACUGGCUGUUAACCAGUGGGUUGUCGGUUCGAGUCCGACCUCCGGAGCCA